CUGGAGCCUGGCUGCACUUCUCCUAGACCUAUUGAAGAGUGACUGCCAGUGGGAAAGGAUCUCUUCUGGAGAUCCCUCCUCUGGAGUUUUGCAGCGAGCCCAGGAUGUGGGACAAGGAGUGGAGAUGGCAGAACCUGAGCGGCACUGAUGUGAAGAGGCAGUCAGGUCCAGUUGGGUAUUGACUCCUGCUGUGAACGUCCAACUCCCAUUGCAGUCCAGGAGCAGAAGGGCUGAAUGUGAUGGUGAAGAUCCUCCUCUGGCUUCUUGCUCUAUCUGGACAGAAGGACAUUCACGCUUCACUCUCAUACCAGAAACAAGCCUUGCUUCUCUGUCGGUGUGUGCAGAUGGUGCUGGGCCAGGGCAAUGCUUGCUGCUGGCAUUUGGGGCUCAUGUGGGACAUGAGCUUCUGGAGGCAGUGGUCACAGCACCCCAAGCCUGUCCCUAAGAGCACGAUGCAUUUGGGUAGUUGGGUUGCAGCAGUAGGUGCUGUGUGGGGCAUUCCUAAAUUAGUGAACUGUUAGAAGAUACCAAUAGUUGUUUAAUGUGGCUGGCUUAGGCUCGUUUGGGUCUUUUGGUAACGCUUCACGUAGUUUAGGAAUUAGAGAGGAGCUUAAAACUGCUGAAGGCUGCUCAGGCACUGGAUUGUUUUGUAUAUUCUCAACUCAUCGCCAACUCAUUGUGGAGCUCCUGUGCUCUGAACUGCCAUGUUCAGCCCAGCAGGUGCUGCUCCUUCUUGCAUUGCAGCCUCCAGUGGGCUCUCAGCAGCUGCAUUUCACUUUUGGAAGUUGUUCAAAUGACCCGGAGCAUAAAUGUGCCUGGAUAUGAGUGGUGGAAGGUGCAGCUCUUGCUGAUGGUUCCUUAUGCUUCUUGUGGGAGUGCACAACCAUUGCUACAAUUUAGCCAUCAUUCAAAAGAUACGGCUUUGCUUUAUUUUAAAAUAAAUCAGGUGUUUUCAUGUAUUCGCUCCCAACUGGCAGCAGUAACUUUUAAUUGAGCUGUGAUUAGCUUCUUAAGCUACCUGAAUCUGAUGGCAGAAAUACGCUGCACCUCCUGCAACUGGGAAAUUGAUUGCUUGACUGUGCAUUGCUGGUGGUAAAUGUGGUACUUCUUAACAUGACAAUGGAUCGAUGGCUCAGGGGGUUGAUUUCUUUCUUUUGAAACAAGGAGAGCUGAGUAUGUCCCAACCCACUGCUGCCUACCAGGAGAGGUGGAGGGGGGGGGAAGAAGAAAAAACAAAAGGGAGAUGCUGAAUAUCAAAAUUUGAAGCAGAUAUGAUAAUGUCUCUCUACAAAUUAUCAAUUAUUUUUUUAUUGCCUUAGUGAUGGCUCCAGCUCAGCAUUCUCGGUCUUCCCUUUGCCUCCCACAGAUGUUAAAAUUGUGUAUAUAUUUAAAAAACAGACAUUGAUACAUGUGCAGUAAUUACGCCAAACAGCUGUUAAUGAACCCUUAC